UAAAGGGAUAGUUGCUGUGCAAGCGCUGCUUUGGUGAUACAUGAUUCCUGAAGUGUGUGUUCUUGUCGAGAUCUCUAACCAGCGAAUAUUUUACCAGUCGGUGUAGAGCGAGCAUGUCGUCAGAAACAGAAAUAUGCCUACCAGCUGGACAGUCCUGGACCGUGACAGCCCACCCAAAACCUCGCUGCCCUGCCACAGAUCCGGACUGUGGUUGCCCGGGCAACCGUCCAGCACAGAAGUGGCAGAGGGCAGCAAUAAGAGGACGCUCAGAGGGGAAAUCUUUCCCCCAAAGCCCGGAGCAAACGGAGGCUGGAAAAAAAAAGAGAGAGAGCCACAAAGAGGAGCUGUUUGCUCAGUUUAGCGCCGCCUUGGUCAGGACGCUCCCCGAGCGCAGCGGGGCUUUGGCAUGGCUGUGGAUACAUCGGGUCCUGUUUGGGAACGAGACGGAGGCUCAGACGCACCCUGCUGGGCCCCUCACCAGCAGGGUCUGAUACCCCGCCCCAGGAAGGGAACUGCUCAUUUUGGGCGACGUGCUAAAAGAACAGCCGCCCGUAAUGCGUCUGGUGCAGCUUCACUUUGUCUUUGUGCUGUAAUGGAUAGCCAGGAAUGGGCAUAUUCUGAAUGCGCUAUUCUGCUGUGCGCUAGCCCUGUGCACUGAAAAUUAUUGGUUACAUGAUCGUUUGCAUUCCCUACCCUCUUUUCUGCCCCAAAUUAUAACCAAGUUUUUAGUUGAUCUAAAUACAAAGAUACAGCUAAACAA